GAAAAGUAUGUGGUAGGAAGAUUUUUGCGUGACGGAAGAUCAUCAGCGAAAAUAUGCAUUUGUGUGGUGAGUAUAGCUCCUUCUCUGGUAGUGUGUCUUUUUGAUACUUUGAUUCUUCUUACCAAUAAUACCAAACAACCCUUUAACGGCAUUCACAUACAUGUUCCUUCCUUCCUUUUUCUUCACAUAUACAAAAAGAUACCAAAGAAUCUUCCCUCUUCAUAUUUUUAUUCUUCCAUUCUUCAAAUUACUAUAACAAUACUAAAACUCCUCCAACACAAUAACAACACACAAAACACAUAG